rnacentral:rRNA from 1 species
AAGCAUAUCAAUAAGCGGAGGAAAAGAAACUAACAAGGAUUCCCCUAGUAACUGCGAGUGAAGCGGGAAAAGCUCAAAUUUAAAAUCUGGUAGUUAUUUGACUAUCCGAGUUGUAAUCUAGAGAAGUGUUAUCCGUGCUGGACCAUAUAUAAGUCUCUGGAAUGGAGCAUCAUAGAGGGUGAGAAUCCCGUCUUUAAUAUGGACUACCAGGACAUUGUGAUACGCUUUCAAAGAGUCGAGUUGUUUGGGAAUGCAGCUCUAAAUGGGUGGUAAAUUCCAUCUAAAGCUAAAUAUUGGCGAGAGACCGAUAGUGAACAAGUACCGUGAGGGAAAGAUGAAAAGAACUUUGGAAAGAGAGUUAAAUAGUAUGUGAAAUUGUUGAAAGGGAAACGCUUGAAGUCAGUCGCAUUGGUCAGAGAUCAACCUAACUAUAUAGUUUGGUGUAUUUUUUGAUUAAUGGGUCAGCAUCAAUUUUGAUCAGUAGAAAAAGAUUGAAAGAAUGUAGCAUCUUCGGAUGUGUUAUAGCUUUUAAUUGUAUAUACUGGUUGGAAUUGAGGAACUCAGCAUGCCAUAAGGCCGGGUUGUUUUCAACCACGUUCAUGCUUAGGAUGCUGGCAAUAAUGGCUUUAAUCGACCCGUCUUGAAACACGGACCAAGGAGUCUAACAUGCCUGCAAGUGUUUGAGUGGAAAACUCAAGCGCGCAAUGAAAGUGAAAAUUGAGAUCUCUAUUAUUUAGAGAGCAUCAAUGCCCGGACCAGACCUUCUGUGACGGAUCCGCGGUUGAGCAUGUAUGUUGGGACCCGAAAGAUGGUGAACUAUGCCUGAAUAGGGUGAAGCCAGAGGAAACUCUGGUGGAGGCUCGUAGCGAUUCUGACGUGCAAAUCGAUCGUCAAAUUUGGGUAUAGGGGCGAAAGACUAAUCGAACCAUCUAGUAGCUGGUUCCUGCCGAAGUUUCCCCUCA